rnacentral:antisense_RNA from 1 species
GUGGGAGGGGGCUUGCUCCCGAUUACAGUAGGUCAGUCAAUACAUCGGGAGACUGAUACACCGCUAUCGGGAGCAAGCCCCCUCCCAC